rnacentral:misc_RNA from 3 species
CUGAGUGAGGGCCUUCGGGCUCGACCUCCAACCCUUUGUGAACACAACUUGUUGCUUCGGGGGCGACCCUGCCGUUUCGACGGCGAGCGCCCCCGGAGGCCUUCAAACACUGCAUCUUUGCGUCGGAGUUUAAGUAAAUUAAACA